GCGCGGUUAGCUCAGUUGGUAGAGCAUCCCCUUGACGUGGGGAGGGUCAGGAGUUCGAGUCUCUUACCGCGCACCC
rnacentral:tRNA from 1 species